UUGUUGCUGGUCCUCGAAAGGGGGCACGUGCACGCUCUGUUUACGCAUCCACUCACACCUGUGCACCCUCUGUAGUUCUAUGGCCUCGAGGGCUCCGCCCUCUUGCCGUGGUCCUACGUCUCUACACACACACCGUAACGAAGUCUCAUGGAAUGUAUGUCGCGUUUAACGCAACACAAUACAACUUUCAGCAACGGAUCUCUUGGCUCUCGCAUCGAUGAAGAACGCAGCGAAAUGCGAUAAGUAAUGUGAAUUGCAGAAUUCAGUGAAUCAUCGAAUCUUUGAACGCACCUUGCGCCCUUUGGCUAUUCUGAAGGGCAUGCCUGUUUGAGUAUCAUGAACACCUCAACUCUCGUGGCCCGCCACGAUGAGCUUGGACUUUGGGGGUCUUGCCGGCGUACCGUCGGCUCCUCUCGAAUGAAUCAGCUUGCCAGUGUCUGGUGGCAUCACGGGUGUGAUAACUAUCUACGCUUGUGGUUUUCUGCCGGGCAACCUCCAGCGAUGGAGGUUCGCUGGAGCUCACAAACGUCUCUCCUCGGCGAGGACGGCUUUUCGAACGUUUGAUCUCAAAUCAGGUAGGACUACCCGCUGAACUUAAGCAUAUCAAUAAGCGGAGG
rnacentral:rRNA from 1 species